rnacentral:tRNA from 1 species
GACGAUGUACUCAAAUGGUUGAAGAGACUGGACUGCAACUCCAGGAUUGCAGGUUCGAAUCCUGUCGUCGUCU